AUCAAUGUAGUAUCGAAAGAAAAUCUAUGUCAUUCCUCUUUACAUACCCACUAUUAUUGUAGUUAGCUUCGAGACGACCAUGUGCUUCAAUUACAGGAUCUGCACACUGCUUAAGGAUGAUUUUGCUGUGAUUUGGAUCAAUACCGCCAUCUACAACAUCAGAGUAUAGUGGAGCGUUCUCAUCUAUUCCUUGAUGCACAAUGGAACCAUUGGCACACAAAUUAGAC
rnacentral:lncRNA from 1 species